CAAUUCCCACUCCUUUUGAAGCAGAUAAUUAGCAGAGACAUCCUGAUUUAAUUCAUUUCCGAAUGAGUUCCUGGAAAAUCCUGAAUGUUUUGAAAGAAAGUAGCAGAAAAUAGAGGACAACUCUGAGCCCCUCAUGUCUCCAAACCAACUGUUUCCUCCUUCUCUCCUACUCAUUUCAUAUUUCCCACAUGAGAGGUGGAAGCUCUAGAAGUUUCCUUCUAGCUUAGAAGACACCACCCUUGUUGUAAUGUGUUAUAUUGGUGACUGGGUAGUUCUGGGGGCUAAUGAGGAGAUAUAAAAUCACGGUGAACCCAAGUGACCAUUUCGAAUCUAACCCAACCUUCUUCUGUUUGCUGUUUCCCGUACAUGCCGAGCCCACAGAGUGCCUCCCCAGACAGUUACUUACUCCUUGAGAAGCGCACAUCUGCCUGACCAGAUAAGAACCUGUCACUACAGCAGGUUUCACGCCAGGGCAGUUUUCCCAAACCAAUACUCUUCCACUUACUUCAGGACUCCCCUUCACUCUCCAGCAUCAGCUACAGCUCCUACUUAAAUAAUUUCCCUGGCAUGCUCAUCAAUUUCAUGUUAAGAAUUAUAAGCAACUUAUUUUUUCAUCUUCUCUCCAACCAGAGUAGAGCUAUGCAUCUACAAGUGGAGCUGUCAUUCUGCCUCCCAAGUACCUCUUCUGGAAAAGAUCUUAAAAUGUAUUGUUUCAUGUGAAAAAGCAUUCAUUGCUUUGCUCCCAGCUGCAGCUGAUGUAGUAGGAGAGAGCUGCUCACUCUUAGUUUACAGACCAGUUUGGCCACACAGCCUGCUAGGUAAAGACAGGCCAGCACACUCAGAUUGGUGCCAGGAAUAUUGCUGCUGAUUGUGCUUACCAAACCAUGUUAUGUCAGCUGCAUCCAUGUCAGAGGAGCAUGUGCAAGACCAGUUACAGCUAAUAAGCCUCUGUCUGAGGGAAAAAAUGAGACCAGAGUGAGAUUUAUGACAAAUUCAAGCACAGAAUAAGCAGUAUGAACAGAUGAGCCUCAAAGAAUGGUAAGGUCCUCUUUACGUACAAAUAUUUUUUGGGGGGAGGGGAGUGAAGAAGGAAUAAAAUCAGAAAAUAAUAGAAUGAAUUAUAGCAAAUACUCUUUCUAAGUAAAGUCAUUUUGCAUUUCCCAUGGGAGUCAGUUGAAUGAGAGAAGGCAAAAAAAAAGAAAGAGAGAAGACAAAAAAAAAGAAAGAGUAGAAAUGCUUGCAACACAGAACAAACCUUGAGUGCCAAGAACAUGCUCCAGAUUUUUUUAAAGAUGCCUGGCUCUUAUCUCAGCCUUGAUUCAUCACAGUUUACUCCCAGAAUUACUCAGAAUUCAAGGACCUUGCUCCUGUGGGGUUAAUGGGUUACAUUCAGCAUUGAAACCCAUGACACAAAUAGCUGCUUAAUUAUUCACUCGAAGAUGGUUUUAGUGGCUAAUCUAAAUAAA